rnacentral:rRNA from 1 species
GUCCACGCCGUAAACGAUGAUAACUAGCUGUCCGGGACUUGGUCUUUGGGUGGCGCAGCUAACGCAUUAAGUUAUCCGCCUGGGGAGUACGGCCGCAAGGUUAAACUCAAAUGAAUUGACGGGGCCUGCACAAGCGGUGGAGCAUGUGGUUUAAUUCGAAGCAACGCGCAGAACCUUACCAGCGUUUGACAUGGCAGGACGACUUCCAGAGAUGGAUUUCUCCCUUCGGGGACCUGCACACAGGUGCUGCAUGGCUGUCGU